rnacentral:piRNA from 1 species
UAGUCACUGUCAUUUCAAGUAAAGAAAAAUG